UUUUCUUUAAACCAAUGUUUACUCUUUUAAAAACUUAGCCUUAUACCAAAAUAUUGAGAUUAAACGGGUUUGUUGUACUAGUUGUAAUUUUUUAAAAUUACACAUAAGAAUAAAUAACUCAAGCAUUUAAAAAAGUGUAACGUAGCACCUGAAACCAUCAUUUGAGCAACAGUGUAACGAACACUGUAGAGACGACGAAGGUGCCUGAGGCUCCGACCGCCACCAGGGGGCGCAGUUGCCCGCCGUCCCGGGGAGCCCUCGGCGUUACCCCACCAGGGGGCGCCCUCCACGGCGCUGUGCCCCCUGGAGCCGCUGCCAGAGCUCGCACCGUCCGGCGUGCUUAGAGGUCCCGAGCUGAGUCCUGCGGCCCCACGCUAUCAGGGGUCCCGCGGGCAUGAGAACCCACCGGGGAGGUAAGGGCCCGGACCACGCGCGGGCAUCCUCCGGGAACACGGAGGAUUGUCAGAGCAGAGAGCGCCCCCGGGGAGGUGGUGAGACUGUGCGCGGUGGAAGGGCGGUCGGUGGCCUCCAGCCCAGCCUCUCGGGCCACUCGGAACAGCGCGUUCGGAAACAGGAAGCGGCGUUGGCUCAGGCACCGCCCUCGUCUGGCCGGCGCUGAGGGGAGUUGAGGAAGUACUUCCGGCGCGAGGGGCUGCACUUCCGGGGAGGACCUGCGAGGGCGGAAAAAGGCUCCCAGGUCACUCCGCCCGGAAGGGUUGUUGGGAGCAGCAGGGGCGCAGAGAGCAUUCCCCGCACCCAGGUCGACAGCGUCUUUGUGGCGGAGAUCCUCCUCAUUGUGGGGUGACCAGGAUGAAACGGAGCGGGCUUUGGGAUCCGGAGCCCGGCACUGAGGAGGAGAAGGCAGCCAAGUCUCAAGCCAGGAAAAUCAUGGCUGCGGUUGUUAGAUCCUCGUCGAAGCCUCCUCUACUUUCCCACCUCUGCUUCCUCAGUAUGACACUCUCCCCCUCCUCAGUGAACACAGUCGGACACUUCAUUCCAGGAGUGGCCAGGGUGUUGAGGGGGCCGGGAGGGUCUGCUGAUUUUCCCCACUGGUUAGCCAUAAAAAGUUACUUCUCACCGCUGGGUCCCUGUGCCCCA
rnacentral:lncRNA from 1 species